UGGACACCUGCGUUAAGCCGACCGAGACAAGGCUCCUGAACGCUGACUAUCUGCCCCAGAGCUGUGCUUGUGCUAUGCGGACCUUAACCUUCAGGAUUGGAUCAUAAACCACCUAUACCAGAGCUCAAGAGCCCAUGGUGCUGUCUGUCCUGGUGUUGCUGCCUCUGGAGGAGGAGAGGGAGCCACCCAAGAAGAUAGGGGAAGAAGAGCGAGCUCUGGCAGCCACGUGAUGCUAUUCCCCUCCCUAGAUCCUCUUUCCACUGUGUCCACAGAGGUGGCACACUGAGACCAACUUCUGAACAGUCAACUUUCACUUUUUCUCUUCUUUGCCAAAGUGUUCUCUCUCCUACCCUUAAUCAAGGUCCAAAGUCUAAAAGUAUUUAUAUAGAUUUUCCUAGUACAUGCACGGCAUAAUAAAUUUGAAGUCUUUCUUCAACUCUC
rnacentral:sRNA from 1 species